UCUGGUUGAUUCUGCCAGUAGUCAUAUGCUUGUCUCAAAGAUUAAGCCAUGCAUGUCUAAGUAUAAAUAGUAUACAGUGAAACUGCGAAUGGCUCAUUAAAACAGUUAUAGUUUAUUUGAUAAUUGACAAUUACAUGGAUAACCGUGGUAAUUCUAGAGCUAAUACAUGCUUAAACGCCCGACUUUAUGGAAGGGUGGUAUUUAUUAGACUGAAGCCGAUAUUCCUUGUGUCUAUUGCGGUGAUUCAUAAUAACUGAUCGAAUCUCUUUUUGAGAUAAAUCAUUCAAGUUUCUGCCCUAUCAGCUUUCGAUGGUAGUGUAUUGGACUACCAUGGCAGUAACGGGUAACGAAGAAUUAGGGUUCGAUUUCGGAGAGGGAGCAUGAGAAACGGCUACCACAUCUAAGGAAGGCAGCAGGCGCGUAAAUUACCCAAUCCUGACUCAGGGAGGUAGUGACAAGAAAUAGCAAACCGGGAACCUCAUGGUUUCACGGUAUUGCAAUGAGAACAAUUUAAAACCCUUAGCGAGAAUCAAGUGGAGGACAAGUCUGGUGCCAGCACCCGCGGUAAUUCCAGCUCCACUAGCGUAUAUUAAAGUUGUUGCAGUUAAAAAGCUCGUAGUUGAACCUCUGUCUGGGGCUAGUUUUGGCUUUGGUCAGGCUAGUUCUAGGCAUCCGCCUACAAGACUUAGAGGGCAUUCAGUUGUUCACUAGGAGGAGUAGGCAUUUUACUUUGAAAAAAUUAGAGUGUUUAAGGCAGGCAAUCGCCCGCAUAUAUUAGCAUGGAAUAAUAGAAUAGGACACUUUUCCAUUUCGUUGGUUAUUGGAAUCGUGUAAUGAUUAAUAGGGACAGUUGUGGGCAUUUGUAUUUAAUUGUCAGAGGUGAAAUUCUUGGAUUUAUUAAAGACAAACUAACGCGAAAGCAUUUGCCAAGGAUGUUUUCAUUAAUCAAGAACGAAAGUUAGGGGAUCAAAGACGAUCAGAUACCGUCCUAGUCUUAACUAUAAACUAUUCCGACUCAAUGUUUGACUGGCUUAUAUAACCAGUUGAGCGUUGUAUGAGAAAUCAAAGUCUUUAGGUUCUGGGGGGAGUAUGGUUGCAAAGCUGAAACUUAAAGGAAUUGACGGAAGAGCACAACCAGGAGUGGAUUCUGCGGCUUAAUUUGACUCAACACGGGGAAACUUACCAGGUUAAAACAAUAGUGGGAUUGACAGUUUGAGAGCGCUUUCUUGAUUGGUUGGGUGGUGGUGCAUGGCCGUUCUUAGUUGGUGGAGUGAUUUGUCUGCUUAAUUGCGUUAACGAACGAGACCUUAACCUGCUUACUAGACUGGCGAUCAUCAAUCGUUAGCUCUUCUUAGAGGGACUUUGGUUGUU
rnacentral:rRNA from 1 species